rnacentral:rRNA from 1 species
AUUGAACGCUGGCGGCAUGCUCUACACAUGCAAGUCGAACGGUAACAGGUUAAGCUGACGAGUGGCGAACGGGUGAGUAAUGCAUCGGAACGUGCCCGAUCGUGGGGGAUAACGCAGCGAAAGCUGCGCUAAUACCGCAUACGAUCUGAGGAUGAAAGCGGGGGACCGUAAGGCCUCGCGCGAUCGGAGCGGCCGAUGUCAGAUUAGGUAGUUGGUGGGGUAAAGGCUCACCAAGCCAACGAUCUGUAGCUGGUCUGAGAGGACGACCAGCCACACUGGGACUGAGAAACGGCCCAGACUCCUACGGGAGGCAGCAGUGGGGAAUUUUGGACAAUGGGCGAAAGCCUGAUCCAGCAAUGCCGCGUGCAGGAAGAAGGCCUUCGGGUUGUAAACUGCUUUUGUACGGAGCGAAAAGGCUCUCUCUAAUACAGGGGGCUCAUGACGGUACCGUAAGAAUAUGCACCGGCUAACUACGUGCCAGCAGCCGCAGUAA